GCUCACAGGUAAGGUUAUAACAUAUCACUAAGCCUGGUACUUAAUGAUGUGACUCUCUGAUCCUGUUUGUGCCCUGCCCUCAAGAAGCAUUGUGACAUCACUGGGCUAAGCAACAAGGUUACUGGGAUCUCAAUGUAGAUGUUAUGUCCAGACAGAGGCUGCUGUGAGCUGAAUCGUCUGCUUCCCAAAAUUCCUAUGUUGACACCUUAACCCCCAGCACCUAAGAAUGUGACUGUAUUUGGAGAUAGCAUCAUCACAGAGUCUCAGGGAUGUCUUUAUCAGCAGUAUGAAAAUGAACCAAUUCAUCCCACUUCACUGUUUGAAGAAAAACUGCUGGCUCUAUGGGGUCUUCAAUUUACUGAAUGAUUCCUAGAUGCCUGGCCCUAAUUCACUCGAGAGUCAAGAAAGGUGCCACCUUAUGGUGCUCACUGGGCGGUUGUGGAUGUCUAACCUCAGUGCUAGUCACACAGAACCUGAAGCCAGGCUGGCUGCUCCUGUAAAUGGCAUGGAAUCCCAGGGAAUAUCCUGCAUUCUCAGUGUCCAGCUGUCUGAUGCCACAGUUGUUUAUGAUGAUCGAGGACAACUACGUUUUUCUGAGGAGACUUACCACCUCAUGGCUGAGGCAUUCACAAAAAAUAGCUCACGUUAUGUUUUGCUUAUUUGCA
rnacentral:lncRNA from 1 species